UACGAGAGGCCCAAACGUUAUUCGGAAUUACUGGGCUUAAAGAGUUCGUAGGCGGCCAACUAAGUCGGACGUGAAAUCCCUCAGCUUAACUGGGGAACUGCGUCCGAUACUGGAUGGCUUGGAUUUGGGAGAGGGAUGCGGAAUUCCAGGUGUAGCGGUGAAAUGCGUAGAUAUCUGGAGGAACACCGGUGGCGAAGGCGGCAUCCUGGACCAAUAUUGACGCUGAGGUGCGAAAGCGUGGGGAGCAAACAGG
rnacentral:rRNA from 1 species